CGAGUGGCGAACAGGUGAGUAACACGUGGGUAAUCUGCCCUGCACUCUGGGAUAAGCCUGGGAAACUGGGUCUAAUACUGGAUAUGACCUUUCUCCUUAUGGGGUUUGGUGGAAAGUUUUUCGGUGUAGGAUGAGCCCGCGGCCUAUCAGCUUGUUGGUGGGGUGAUGGCCUACCAAGGCGACGACGGGUAGCCGGCCUGAGAGGGUGAUCGGCCACAUUGGGACUGAGAUACGGCCCAG
rnacentral:rRNA from 1 species